CCGGCAAACGGGUGCGGAACACGUACACAACCUUCCUUAAGGCGGGGGAUAGCCCAGAGAAAUUUGGAUUAAUACCCCAUAGCAUACCGUUAGGGCAUCUUAACGGUAUUAAAGAUUUAUCACCUUGAGAUGGGUGUGCGUCUGAUUAGGUAGUUGGUCGGGGUAACGGCCCACCAAGCCAGCGAUCAGUAACUGGUGUGAGAGCACGACCAGUCACACGGGCACUGAGACACGGGCCCG
rnacentral:rRNA from 1 species